AUGGCAGUUGAUGGGACUGUCGAGGAGCCUGUACUAACCGGUCACGCCAUGGAGGUGGUGACGGCUCUUGCUACGGUUCAGGCUCCUGAGAACGAGGUUAUGACCGAUGUGUCUGCGGAGUUGGCUGAUAUGGCUGAGGCUGAUAGGGCGUCCAAGUGGGCGCGCAGGAAGGAAAAGAUGCUAUGUUAUCGUUGCAGCGACAAGGGCCACUUCAUUGCGGAGUGUGUGGCUCUGUUAUGUGAUACCUGCGGUAAACUGGCACAUGACUCUGGGGAAUGUCCGUUACUGCGAGAUCAGGCACCGUCACUCAUGAUGUAUGGAGUUUACUGUGCUGAGUUAACUUUUUUUGAAUCUCCAAAUGAGCGAGAGGUGUCUAAUGAGUCCACGAGUAUGACCACGGGGAUUGUCAAGGUCACCAGAGGGGAGGUGUCUGAGACACAGAUCGUGCAGAGGCUCCAAGAGUUGGCCCCUGGGGAUUUCCAGUGGGACCUUGUCAGUCUCGCUAAUAAGAUGUUCAGGGUUGAGUGUCCUUCCGUGGAGGAUCUGCAGAGGUUGUUGAGCUUUGGGAUGUGUAAGGUGCCGGGAACGGAUGGCAUCCUUGAGUUUCAGGAGUGGAAGCAUAUUGAGCCUCAGGGCGUGCCACUUACUCAGGCGUGGUUGCGAUUUUCAGGGGCUCCCUCUAAGCCGCUGCAGGAUGCUCGGGUUGUGGUCAGCAUGGGCAUUUUAGUAGGGAAGCCUGAGCGUGUGGACAUGGAGUUCACCAGAGCUCACGGGAUUGCUCGGGUUCUGGUUAGUAUAUUGAACAUUGAGUAUGUGCCAGAAGUGGUUAAGUGGGUUUAUCGAGGCAGGAUUUAUAAUCUGAUUAUUGAGUUUGAGGAUGAGAGCCUGCUGGUUGCGCCGGCUCAUGAGUCUAACGUGGAUAUGCAUGAGGGUGAUGACGGCGCGGGAGAGCAGGAGCCGCCGGUCGAGGACUCUGGACGACAGCUGUCCAAGGGGUCAGGGUCUGAGACCACGACGACCGGGGAUGGAGCAGCCCCACCCUCCUCGGUGCCUUCGACGACUCUGAGAUUUGGGUCUUUCGAGCCCUCUUCUGCACCUCCGAGACUGUGGAGUGAUCGGGUCGAGUCUGAGGAGGCUUUUGAGCGCGAGUUGCCUGUUUUGGGGUUUGAGUGUGUUGUGGAUACCAUUCGUGGGGGUCUUGGGGGUUCUGCGAUCUCGAUCUGGGGAGAUGAGGAGGUGAGUCGGCAGGUGGCCACUCCCCCUCUUGCUCAGCACACGGUACAUCCUCAGGAGGUGACGCAGCUUGUCGUGCCCGGCUCGUCAGGUGGAGCCCCGGGCCAGGCGGCCUCGGGAUGCUCCCAUUCUGCUGAGGAAGGGGACUCGGGGCAGGAGGCUCCCGUGUCCUUUUCUUCGUUGGGAGGGGGUCUGGGGCAGGAGGCCUCUGAUACCUUCUCUCCCGUCGCGUCUACCAUUCGGAUCGUGGCGCCUUCGGGAGAGGGCUCGGGGCAGGUGGCCUCGGAGCCUUCUCCCCCUACGGCGCCUGUGGGGGUGGCUUCUCCGGUGCUGGGAGGGGUGUGA
rnacentral:rRNA from 1 species